rnacentral:rRNA from 1 species
AAUAUUGGACAAUGGGGGCAACCCUGAUCCAGCCAUGCCGCGUGUGUGAAGAAGGUCUUCGGAUUGUAAAGCACUUUAAGUUGGGAGGAAGGGCUUUAGGUUAAUACCCUGAAGUUUUGACGUUACCAACAGAAUAAGCACUGGCUAACUCUGUGCCCGCAGCCGCGGUAACACAGAGGGUGCAAGCGUUAAUCGGGAUUACUGGGCGUAAAGCGAGCGUAGGUGGUUCAGUAAGAUGGGUGUGAAGUCCCCGGGCUUAACCUGGGAACUGCUUUCAUAACUGCGGAGCUAGAGUACGGUAGAGGGUAGUGGAAUUUCCUGUGUAGCGGUGAAAUGCAUAGAUAUAGGAAGGAACACCAGUGGCAAAGGCGACUACCUGGACUGAUACUGACACUGAGGUGCGAAAGCGUGGGGAGCAAACA